AAGGGAGACCUAAUUCCGGUAGGAGACGAAAAAAAAGUAGUCCCAACCAAGAAUCAAUCCCAAAAGGUCGGAGCGAGGUAUGAGGCUUUCAAACUAGGUUCUGGGUUCAAACAAGACCUGAAUCAGGAACAAGGGCUAUUAGCUCAGGUGGUUAGAGCGCACCCCUGAUAAGGGUGAGGUCCCUGGUUCGAGUCCAGGAUGGCCCACCUGCACAGGUGGCAAAAACAAGAGAAGCUCCGAAUCAGCACCUUAUCUUAUAUACAUAUAUAAGAGAGAAUGCUGGCUCUGAGUAAAGAGUCCAGAGGAACCUUGAAAACUGCAUAGAGCUAGGUGAAAAAGCCAAAAAAGAAGACCGCAA
rnacentral:tRNA from 1 species